GAUCAAGGUACAAACUUUGUAGGAGCC
rnacentral:sRNA from 1 species